rnacentral:rRNA from 1 species
GGAAGUAAAAGUCGUAACAAGGUCUCCGUUGGUGAACCAGCGGAGGGAUCAUUACCGAGUUUACAACUCCCAAACCCCUGUGAACAUACCUAUACGUUGCCUCGGCGGAUCAGCCCGCGCCCCGUAAAAAGGGACGGCCCGCCCGAGGACCCCUAAACUCUGUUUUUAGUGGAACUUCUGAGUAAAACAAACAAAUAAAUCAAAACUUUCAACAACGGAUCUCUUGGUUCUGGCAUCGAUGAAGAACGCAGCAAAAUGCGAUAAGUAAUGUGAAUUGCAGAAUUCAGUGAAUCAUCGAAUCUUUGAACGCACAUUGCGCCCGCCAGUAUUCUGGCGGGCAUGCCUGUUCGAGCGUCAUUUCAACCCUCAAGCCCUCGGGUUUGGUGUUGGGGAUCGGCGAGCCCUUGCGGCAAGCCGGCCCCGAAAUCUAGUGGCGGUCUCGCUGCAGCCUCCAUUGCGUAGUAGUAAAACCCUCGCAACUGGAACGCGGCGCGGCCAAGCCGUUAAACCCCCAACUUCUGAAUGUUGACCUCGGAUCAGGUAGGAAUACCCGCUGAACUUAAGCAUAUCAAUAAGCGGAGGA